UACGUAGGGUGCAAGCGUUGUCCGGAAUUAUUGGGCGUAAAGAGCUCGUAGGCGGUUUGUCGCGUCGAAUGUGAAAACCCGGGGCUCAACCCCGGGCCUGCAUUCGAUACGGGCAGACUAGAGUUCGGUAGGGGAGUCUGGAAUUCCUGGUGUAGCGGUGAAAUGCGCAGAUAUCGGGAGGAACACCUGCGGUGUAGACGGCUUACUGGACCAUAACUGACGCUGAGGCACGAAAGCGUGGGUAGCAAACAGG
rnacentral:rRNA from 1 species